CAGUCGCCGCGGGAAUACGUAGGGUGCAAGCGUUAAUCGGAAUUACUGGGCGUAAAGCGUGCGCAGGCGGCUAUGCAAGACAGAUGUGAAAUCCCCGGGCUCAACCUGGGAACUGCAUUUGUGACUGCAUGGCUAGAGUACGGUAGAGGGGGAUGGAAUUCCGCGUGUAGCAGUGAAAUGCGUAGAUAUGCGGAGGAACACCGAUGGCGAAGGCAAUCCCCUGGACCUGUACUGACGCUCAUGCACGAAAGCGUGGGGAGCAAACAGGAUUAGAUACCCGAGUAGUCCCUGUCUCUUAUAC
rnacentral:rRNA from 1 species